rnacentral:rRNA from 1 species
GACGAACGCUGGCGGCGCGUCUAACACAUGCAAGUCGAACGGAGCUGUUUUCUCUGAAGUUUUCGGAUGGAAGAGAGUUCAGCUUAGUGGCGAACGGGUGAGUAACGCGUGAGCAACCUGCCUACUAGAGGGGAAUAACAGUGAGAAAUCACUGCUAAUACCGCAUAUGCUUACACUAUCACAUGAUAGAGUGAGGAAAGGAGUAAUCCACUAGUAGAUGGGCUCGCGUCUGAUUAGCUAGUUGGUGGGGUAAUGGCCUACCAAGGCGACGAUCAGUAGCCGGACUGAGAGGUUGAACGGCCACAUUGGGACUGAGAUACGGCCCAU